GUGUAGUUCCCAAAGCAGCUGCCACAGGAACAAAUUGUGGCGCAAAGAUAUUGAGUGCAAAGAAGCCCAAUCCAGUAACCCCAAUCAUUGAAGGGGUAAC
rnacentral:ribozyme from 12 species